CCUUAGAGUUUGAUCCUGGCUCAAGAGGACCUUUAGCUACAGGCUUAACACAUGCAAGUCGAGGGGCAGCAUCAUCAAAGCUUGCUUUGAUGGAUGGCGACCGGCGCACGGGUGAGUAACACGUAUCCAACCUGCCGACAACACUGGGAUAGCCUUUCAAAAGAAAGAUUAAUACCGGAUGGCAUAUUUUUUCCGCAUGGGAUAAUUAUUAAAGAAUUUCGGUUGUCGAUGGGGAUGCGUUCCAUUAGGCAGUUGGCGGGGUAACGGCCCACCAAACCAACGAUGGAUAGGGGUUCUGAGAGGAAGGUCCCCCACAUUGGAACUGAGACACGGUCCAAACUCCUACGGGAGGCAGCAGUGAGGAAUAUUGGUCAAUGGACGAGAGUCUGAACCAGCCAAGUAGCGUGAAGGAUGACUGCCCUAUGGGUUGUAAACUUCUUUUAUACAGAAAUAAAGUUAGCCACGUGUGGCUUUUUGUAUGUACCGUAUGAAUAAGGAUCGGCUAACUCCGUGCCAGCAGCCGCGGUAAUACGGAGGAUCCGAGCGUUAUCCGGAUUUAUUGGGUUUAAAGGGAGCGUAGGCGGGUUGUUAAGUCAGUUGUGAAAGUUUGCGGCUCAACCGUAAAAUUGCAGUUGAUACUGGCGACCUUGAGUGCAACAGAGGUAGGCGGAAUUCGUGGUGUAGCGGUGAAAUGCUUAGAUAUCACGAAGAACUCCGAUUGCGAAGGCAGCUUACUGGAUUGUAACUGACGCUGAUGCUCGAAAGUGUGGGUAUCAAACAGGAUUAGAUACCCUGGUAGUCCACACAGUAAAC
rnacentral:rRNA from 1 species